rnacentral:lncRNA from 1 species
UGGAGAUCAAGAUAUAAGGUCGGAUGGGAAGGAACUUAUGAUCAGACCCUUAAUCUAGAGGAAUAGAUGUGCUAGGGGUCCUUAGACUAAAUGCUGAAAAGUCCCUAAGUUUUACACAUAUACCCUCGGUUCAAGGAAAAAGGAUACAGCCGAGCCCUCGGGCGGGGCGGAGAAAAGGGGUCGGGCGGACGGACAGGGUCGGACGAGGCGGACAAGGGUCGGCAGCUUACCCUUGGUUCACAGGUGGAGCUUGGGGUCGGAAGGAGCAGACUUGGGUGGAAGCGCUAAGACUGGGACAGCGGCGGGGUCCGGCGGUGCUCCGGCGGCGGCGGCGGAGCUUCUUG